rnacentral:lncRNA from 1 species
UAUUAUUACCGUCGUUUUCAAUUCUUGCGAUUUAGUCUAUAGAAUUUUAUAUUUAGGGACUGAGUAUUAAAAUUAUGCUGUUUUAAAAGCAAUGUUGAGGGUAUUUGUUUUAAGAAUUUGUAUUAUUCUAAAAUUAUACUAUGAGCUAUUAAUCAUAUAUAGACAAAAGUAGUGAGUGAUGAAAUGGUGCACACAUGCAUAGGUUGUAAGGAAACAAAGUUCAAUUUUCUUCUUUUUCUUAAUUUCCCCUUUUCAUGAGAAAAAGUAGAAUCACUAGGAGUGUGUUGGGCAAAUAGAAAGAUGAUGCAUGCAAAGCUUUAAUAAUGUCUUUUAAGCUCUGCCUACGACGACGAGGACAUUGGUAUGCGUUAAACCUUUGCUACAAGGAUAUGUAGCACACGUGAUUUCCCUGAGAGCCAAAGCAUAGAUAUACUGCAAAUUAAGUGAAGAGCUUUGGAUAGAUUGAAAUUUUUGGAAAAGUGCUUUUAAGAUACAACAUCCUUUUCUUAAAAGCAGUUUUAUUUUCUUUGGUUUACAAAAUUUCCCUGUCUACCACCUAAUGAGCAUCAUGAAAAUUUCUUUUUGUUCUUUUAAAGCCCUAAAGGGUGAAAUUAUGAAAAUCAAAGAGAAUAUAAUCAUUUGUUGAGGCAUGACCCUACACGGUUUAUGUCUUGAUCUUUAGUCGACACGAUUUUAAAACUUGUGAUUCUCACUAUAAGAAUCUUUUAAGAGUUAGAAUUUCAUUUGUAGAAAAUUUGACUAACUAAUAUCUCUUUCCUUUCACGGUACUUAUACAUGCUUUUGCUUUUAAUUAUCAUUCUUGCGUU